ACAUGGAGUCAGUGGCGGAUCCAGAGCCUGAUCUCGGGAGGGGCACUUGUAGAUUAUUUAAAGAAAUAAUCCAGACACAAUAACUACUACAGCUCAGUGUAGUGGUUAUGGUGUCAAUAGUGCCGGGACCCCCUCCUAGAGUAAGUAGCCAAACCGUUUAAGAACAGUUUGACAACUUACCUGAGGUCUGCUGGGAAAUGGGGCGGUAGUAGGGCAUAGGAGCAGUGGUGUGUGUGAGUGGUGCAAUGUGUAAGGGGUGCAGUGUGUGUGUG